CCUGGCUCAGGAUGAACGCUGGCGGCGUGCUUAACACAUGCAAGUCGAACGAAGCUACUUUUUACGAUCCCUUCGGGGUGACGAGUUGUAGACUUAGUGGCGGACGGGUGAGUAACGCGUGGGUAACCUGCCGUAUGCAGGGGGACAACAGUUGGAAACGACUGCUAAUACCGCAUAAGCGCACGAUAUCGCAUGAUAAAGUGUGAAAAGAUUUAUCGGCAUACGAUGGACCCGCGUCUGAUUAGCUAGUUGGUGAGGUAACGGCCCACCAAGGCGACGAUCAGUAGCCGACCUGAGAGGGUGACCGGCCACAUUGGGACUGAGACACGGCCCAAACUCCUACGGGAGGCAGCAGUGGGGAAUAUUGCACAAUGGGCGAAAGCCUGAUGCAGCGACGCCGCGUGAGUGAAGAAGUAUUUCGGUAUGUAAAGCUCUAUCAGCAGGGAAGAUAAUGACGGUACCUGACUAAGAAGCUCCGGCUAAAUACGUGCC
rnacentral:rRNA from 1 species